rnacentral:rRNA from 1 species
CCCCUAGAUGUUCUGGGCCGCACGCGCGCUACACUGAACAGUUCAACAAGUCUUAACCUUGGCCGAUAGGUCUGGGUAAUCUUUGAACGCUGUUCGUGAUUGGGAUAGACCUUUGCAAUUAUGGGUCUUCAACGAGGAAUUCCUAGUAAACGCAAGUCAUCAGCUUGCAUUGAUUACGUCCCUGCCCUUUGUACACACCGCCCGUCGCACCUACCGAUUGAAUGGUCCGGUGAAAUCUCGGGACGGCGGCUCGGUCGCUUGCGUCCGACUGCUGAAACUUGAUUAAACCAUAUCAUUUAGAUGAAGGUGAAGUCGUAACA